ACCGGCCAAUCAGAGCGAGGGGCGUGUCCAGAAGCUCAGCCGGGACUUUAUCAGUGUGGCUGACAGUGUGAUCAGCCAGGACAACGCCCACAAGUGGCAGGCCAUCAAAGAGGUGGUAAAUGGUCCCAUGGAUGUGGUGAAAAGCAUCGACCGUUUGGUGACAAGUCUAAGCUCUCAUCUGAUCGCCGAGAAUCCACACGUGACCAUCCAGAGCCCCAACAUCAAGGUGGAGGUGCAGCAGCAGAAACUGGACCAGGGCUGGACUGGACCAAACUUCUGUGGCCCAGACUCAGACCCAAACGCUGCUCUGGACUGUAUCUCUGUGCCCCAACACAACAUACAAGAUCUACACAA
ensembl:lncRNA